rnacentral:lncRNA from 1 species
AUCAUCAUCAUCAUCAUCAUCAUCAUCAUCAUCAUCAUCAUCAUAAUCAUCAUCAUCAUCAUCAUCAUCAUCAUCAUCAUCAUCAUCAUCAUCAUCAUCAUCAUCAUCAUCAUCAUCAAUCAUCAUCAUCAUCAUCAUCAUCAUCAUCAUCAUCAUCAUUAAUCAUCAUCAUCAUCAUCAUCAUCAUCAUCAUCAUCAUCAU